rnacentral:rRNA from 1 species
UACGUAGGGUGCAAGCGUUAAUCGGAAUUACUGGGCGUAAAGCGUGCGCAGGCGGUGAUGUAAGACAGGUGUGAAAUCCCCGGGCUUAACCUGGGAACUGCAUUUGUGACUGCAUUGCUGGAGUGCGGCAGAGGGGGAUGGAAUUCCGCGUGUAGCAGUGAAAUGCGUAGAUAUGCGGAGGAACACCGAUGGCGAAGGCAAUCCCCUGGACCUGUACUGACGCUCAUGCACGAAAGCGUGGGGAGCAAACAGG